rnacentral:tRNA from 1 species
GGUGAGAUGGCUGAGAUUUAGGCGUUAAAUUGUAAAUUUAAAAACGAAUAUAUUAUUCUCUCACCA